CCUGUCCUUCCUGAUCAUUCCGGGGAUCAUUCCUCUCAUUUAGCUUAAUUGCUUGUAUUUUGAGUCCUUUUCCAAGCAUACCAUUUUUUAUUGUAGCCUAACAUUUUUGCCUAGUUUAGAUUGUAUUAUGUUAUUGUUAUGGUGAUGUGAUCAAAUCAUGCCAUUCAGUGAAGAUGUCUGGAAGCACCGAGACACGUAAUUAAAUUAUGUGUGAUAUAAUGAUGUUUACUCUGGUAUGCAGGUCUUUGACAACAUUUGAACAAAUACGUGAAAACAGUCUUAGUUUUUUUCAUAAAGGUAUGCAUGUGACAUACAGGUCAUCUGUAUGCUAAGAGAGCGAACGCUUGGCAACAGCCCAACCCGUCUGGUCAAGCAGCUGACAGAGAACCACAUUGAGGAGUGGUUGGACCGCCUAGCUGACUAAUUUGGGGAAUGUGCUGCUUUUGUGGACAAGCCCAGCCUCUUCCCAGUGGCCUGUAGGAGCCCCCAGAGCCUCUUGAUGUCCCCACCAGCCGAUGGCUACUGUCUAUUUAUGGAUGGGACAUCAUCAGGCGUAUGGACCACAUCAAGGCCAGAAUUACCUCCACAUUUGGGUCCAUUUUAAAAAUUGACUCCACCAAGAAGUUUAUUUCAUAGAACCAGCUGUAUCUCCUGGAAGGCCUGAACAGGUGGAAUCAGGACCGAGCUGUUGCAUCCCUCUCCACCAAACCCUCCUUACUGCUGAGCUACGCUGGGGACGUGGUUCAGUGUGUGAACAAAAACAGCAUGAAGUUGUUUGGCCUGAAAUAUGUGUCCUCUUUCCGCCCCCCUACAAAAUACACUGGAGAGCUGAUAGGCAUGGACUAUCUGCUCCUUCAGACAGGGCAGCCUUUGCGGAGGGUGGACCCC
ensembl:lncRNA